GAAAGAUCCUAGAUUUAAGUCAUUUUUGGAGAUGUUUGAUCAACAAUCAACGAUGUCAAAGGUGUGGGUUUAGAAUUUCGAAAAAAGAUGCUAAUAUGGAACUGCCAAACAAUCUGAUCAGCACCAAACCUGCUGCAGCUGCAUCGGAAAGCAAUACCUGCCUGAUAUGAUGCCAAUCAAUUGCAGAUGACCAAGAUCAUGUUAAGUUACGCCAGAAAGGGAGUGAUAGCAUAAAUGCUGCCAGCAAAGUUCGCUUGGACAAUAUUACUUCCCUACCCGGACAGACAGUUCAUAUGUACAUUGUCGGAAAGAUUAUUGUAACCCAAUUCGAAUCAAGUUAUCCUUAAAUAAAAAGCCAACACUGUAUUAUCUCCAUCGUUACGAUCUAACACUGAACGAUUUAACUUCAGUACAAAUUGUCUAUUUUGUGCUCAACGUGCCAAAUUUGUUGGAAGAAAACGAGGCUAUAAUGUAUACCCUGUUAGAACAGUUGAAUUUAAAAAGAACAUCGAACACAUAUGUAUCGAUAGGGAUGACAAAUAGGGUUCAGAUAUUAAAAGCAGAUUGGAAACAAUACAUGACUUAGCGGCUGCUGUUGCUAUAUACCAUCAGUCAUGCAGCGUAAAUUUUAGGACAGGUAAAAAUAUACCACAGUCAGGCAAUGAAAAAGGAAAGAAGUGUGGAAGACCAGUGAACAUGGCACAGGAA